rnacentral:misc_RNA from 1 species
GAUGAAGAACGCAGCAAAAUGCGAUACUUGGUGUGAAUUGCAGAAUCCCGUGAACCAUCGAGUUUUUGAACGCAAGUUGCGCCCGAAGCCUUUUGGCCGAGGGCACGUCUGCCUGGGCGUCACGCAUCGCGUCGCCCCCCACAAUUCUCCGUAAAGGGAACAUGUGUUUUGGGGGCGGAUAUUGGUCUCCCGUGCUCAUGGCGUGGUUGGCCGAAAUAGGAGUCCUUUCGAUGGACGCACGAACUAGUGGUGGUCGUAAGAACCCUCGUCUUUUGUUUCGUGCUGUUGCUCGCAAGGUAAACUCUUUAAAAACCCCAAUGUGUCGUCUCUUGACGACGCUUCGACCGCGACCCCAGGUCAGGCGGGACUACCCGCUGAGUUUAAGCAUAUCAAUAAGCGGAGGA